CAAAUAAUACAUGAAUUACUUGUUAUGUGGCGGUCACUGUUUCCGGAUGAUGUCUCUAUGAAGGCCGACAUGGUGGAGUUGAAAAGAAAAUUAGGAGAGGCAACCAGGGAUUAUUAUUCUAGGGAGGACGAGCUGCAUUCCGAAUUCGGAAUCUCUUAUUCAUGCGACAUUCAUCCAAUCACUGUUCGAGCAAUGAAUCGCCUCCAUACUGCUUUAAUGAUGUAGGCAACUUGGAACCACUCCUCCGAGCAUACCCCAAUGGUGAAGUUGAAAUUCCAAUAUGGCCGGCAGGAUCAGACUGAGCUGCUUGACUAUUUCAACAUAAUGCGGAGGCCACGGGAUCUUCAAUGUUGAGCAUGUUAGAUUGUCUCAGUUUUGACACUUCUCAUGUUCCAGUAGUUGAUCCUAAAUUGUGAAGAAUUCAUCAAGACUUUUCGAGCUCUGCUAGAUGGCAAUAAAGAAUAUUCUUUUAAAAAAACGAAUAUUCUCUCUUUUAGGAUAGCAGAACAGUCUUAUAUUUUUAAAAUUCCAAAACAACCCUUCUCACUUCCACACUCACAUAUAGCUCUCUCUGAAUUCCGCUGUUCGCAAUUUAUAUAUAAACCCAAACAAUAGGGGCGCGUGAGCUCCACCUCCUCAACGGUCUCACUCUGACACACUCUCCCUCCCUUCGCUUCCUUCUGCAACCUCUCUCUGCGGUUCUUCCCUCACCACACCACUACUCUCUCCUCUUUCUUCUUCUUUUUUCUGUUUCUGUUUUACAGUAAUAGGGUUUUACGGUUCAUCUUCUUCCCGCACAUUUCAAUGCCGGAGAAGUCCAGGAAGGUACCUUUCACGGAACAAGACUCAGCAAAGCUCCUAGAAAGGUAUGAUGCAACGACGGUGUUAACUUUGCUUCAGGAACUUGCGCACUAUCCUCAUGCGAAGAUCGAUUGGAAUGAGUUGGUGAAGAAACAUCAACUGGCAUUUCCACCGCCAGAGAUUAUCAGAUGGUGUGGCGCCACUUGGCCUACCGUCAUGCCCUUGCUGAAAAUCUUGAAGAUGGUGCUCAACCUCUGGUUUGUGAUUUUAGUUAUAUUAUUUAAUUAUAAAAGAAAAAAAUUUCUUGGGGUCAUAAGAUGAAAUAAUAAAGUUAUGACAGUGGUUAUAGUUGAAUUUGUCAGGGAUAUGAAUCUAUAGUUACCACUUGCAGGAAAUAAAAACUUGUCAAUGCUUGUGCACAUCAUGCUAGUUCAGGCCUUCAGGGCCAUAUAUCUUGUUUAUGGAGACUAUGUAAAAUCAUGGUAUACCAAAGGCCCUGAAGGAAAAAGAAACAUUGAUGCUCUUCUGCUUGAAUCUUAACUUCUUGUGUUUUCUCCUUAGCCUUGUGUUUUAUUGAAUGUAGCAGGUCUAUUCAAGUUGAUUCUUGAAUUGAAUAUAACAUGAUAUAGCAGUUCUAAUCAGAUUGAUCCUUGAAUAUCAUCUUUGACUUUAAAAUGGGUCUUUAAAGACCAUUUUGAAGUAUAUUUGCUAUCAGAUAACAUUACUGAGUAUCACAUUGUAUGUCUAAUCUUGGCAUGUGUAGUUUCUGCUUAUUAAGAAUUUGUUUUUGUAUAUCAGAAGUUUAUUGUCACUAACCAAUUUGUAUAAAUUUGAUAGUUCCAGCAUGAACUUUACAUGUCCUUCAUAUUGCGAGCUUAAUAGUUUCUUUCUGGUGUAUAAUGUAAAUGCUUUACACUUUCUGAAUUGCUGUGUUAUUUACACCAGGUGAAGAAAAUUACAAUACACACAAUGAAAGAUGUGGUUGAAAAUUUGGAGAAAGCACGGUUAAUGUUUGCGAUCUUUACUCCUAUCUGGUUUGCAUUGUGAUGCAUGCAUGAUUUGAUUACAAUGUUCACUUUGAUAAGGCAUUGUUAGAUUAUUGUUUCUAGGUUCAUGAAUCAUGACUAUGAAUUUAAGUUUAUUAUUUGAUUUACUAAAUUGGUGAUUUUUAUACAGGUCUGGGAAAAGUGAGGUUCGGGAUGGUUGCAUAUGUUUGCUGAUGAAUUGAAGUCUGCUCUCUCGGCUCUUUCAGAAUUUUUCUCGGCUCAAAACCGUGCGUUAUCAAUGUUAUUACAUAGCUUUGUGGUUUUUUAGUGUGUACCAUGAUAUGAUAAAGACACAAAUUAUAUUCUAUGAAUCCACACAAAUGUAAAAUGUUACAUUAUCAUAAUGAAUAUAUGCUUAUUACUAUUAUUUCUAUUUCAUUUUA